UGGGGAAUAUUGCACAAUGGGCGCAAGCCUGAUGCAGCCAUGCCGCGUGUGUGAAGAAGGCCUUCGGGUUGUAAAGCACUUUCAGCGGGGAGGAAGGGAGUAAAGUUAAUACCUUUGCUCAUUGACGUUACCGACAGAAGAAGCACCGGCUAACUCCGUGCCAGCAGCCGCGGUAAUACGGAGGGUGCAAGCGUUAAUCGGAAUUACUGGGCGUAAAGCGCACGCAGGCGGUUGAUUGAGUCAGAUGUGAAAUCCCCAGGCUUAACCCGGGAAUUGCAUCUGAUACUGGUCAGCUAGAGUCUUGUAGAGGGGGGUAGAAUUCCAUGUGUAGCGGUGAAAUGCGUAGAGAUGUGGAGGAAUACCGGUGGCGAAGGCGGCCCCCUGGACAAAGACUGACGCUCAGGUGCGAAAGCGUGGGGAGCAAACAGG
rnacentral:rRNA from 1 species